CGUGCCAUCUAUCUGCAGUCGAGCGGACAGAAGGGAGCUUGCUCCCGGAUGUUAGCGGCGGACGGGUGAGUAACACGUGGGUAACCUGCCUGUAAGACUGGGAUAACUCCGGGAAACCGGAGCUAAUACCGGAUAGUUCCUUGAACCGCAUGGUUCAAGGAUGAAAGACGGUUUCGGCUGUCACUUACAGAUGGACCCGCGGCGCAUUAGCUAGUUGGUGGGGUAAUGGCUCACCAAGGCGACGAUGCGUAGCCGACCUGAGAGGGUGAUCGGCCACACUGGGACUGAGACACGGCCCAGACUCCUACGGGAGGCAGCAGUAGGGAAUCUUCCGCAAUGGACGAAAGUCUGACGGAGCAACGCCGCGUGAGUGAUGAAGGUUUUCGGAUCGUAAAGCUCUGUUGUUAGGGAAGAACAAGUGCGAGAGUAACUGCUCGCACCUUGACGGUACCUAACCAGAAAGCCACGGCUAACUACGUGCCAGCAGCCGCGGUAAUACGUAGGUGGCAAGCGUUGUCCGGAAUUAUUGGGCGUAAAGGGCUCGCAGGCGGUUUCUUAAGUCUGAUGUGAAAGCCCCCGGCUCAACCGGGGAGGGUCAUUGGAAACUGGGAAACUUGAGUGCAGAAGAGGAGAGUGGAAUUCCACGUGUAGCGGUGAAAUGCGUAGAGAUGUGGAGGAACACCAGUGGCGAAGGCGACUCUCUGGUCUGUAACUGACGCUGAGGAGCGAAAGCGUGGGGAGCGAACAGGAUUAGAUACCCUGGUAGUCCACGCCGUAAACGAUGAGUGCUAAGUGUUAGGGGGUUUCCGCCCCUUAGUGCUGCAGCUAACGCAUUAAGCACUCCGCCUGGGGGAGUACGGUCGCAAGACUGAAACUCAAAGGAAUUGACGGGGGCCCGCACAAGCGGUGGAGCAUGUGGUUUAAUUCGAAGCAACGCGAAGAACCUUACCAGGUCUUGACAUCCUCUGACAACCCUAGAGAUAGGGCUUUCCCUUUGGGGACAGAGUGACAGGUGGUGCAUGGUUGUUGUCAGCUCGUGUCGUGAGAUGUUGGGAUAAGUCCCGCAACGAGCGCAACCCUUGAUUUUAGUUGCCAGCAUUCAGUUGGGCACUCUAAGGUGACUGCCGGUGACAAACCGGAGGAAGGUGGGGAUGACGUCAAAUCAUCAUGCCCCUUAUGACCUGGGCUACACACGUGCUACAAUGGACAGAACAAAGGGCUGCAAGACCGCAAGGUUUAGCCCAUCCCCUAAAUCUGUUCUCAGUUCGGAUCGCAGUUUGCAACUCGACUGCGUGAAGCUGGAAUCGCUAGUAAUCGCGGAUCAGCAUGCCGCGGUGAAUACGUUCCCGGGCCUUGUACACACCGCCCGUCACACCACGAGAGUUUGCAACACCCGAAGUCGGUGAGGUAACCUUUAUGGAGCCAGCCGCCGAA
rnacentral:rRNA from 1 species